rnacentral:rRNA from 1 species
AGUGAACGCUGGCGGUAGGCCUAACACAUGCAAGUCGAACGGCAGCACAGGAGAGCUUGCUCUCUGGGUGGCGAGUGGCGGACGGGUGAGGAAUACAUCGGAAUCUACUCUGUCGUGGGGGAUAACGUAGGGAAACUUACGCUAAUACCGCAUACGACCUACGGGUGAAAGCAGGGGACCUUCGGGCCUUGCGCGAUUGAAUGAGCCGAUGUCGGAUUAGCUAGUUGGCGGGGUAAAGGCCCACCAAGGCGACGAUCAGUAGCUGGUCUGAGAGGAUGAUCAGCCACACUGGAACUGAGACACGGUCCAGACUCCUAUGGGAGUCAGCAGUGGGGAAUAUUGGACAAUGGGCGCAAGCCUGAUCCAGCCAUACCGCGUGGGUGAAGAAGGCCUUCGGGUUGUAAAGCCCUUUUGUUGGGAAAGAAAUCCAGCUGGCUAAUACCCGGUUGGGAUGACGGUACCCAAAGAAUAAGCACCGGCUAACUUCGUGCCAGCCGCCGCCGUAA